rnacentral:rRNA from 1 species
AACAACCCAGACCGCCAGCUAAGGUCCCAAAGUCAUGGUUAAGUGGGAAACGAUGUGGGAAGGCCCAGACAGCCAGGAUGUUGGCUUAGAAGCAGCCAUCAUUUAAAGAAAGCGUAAUAGCUCACUGGUCGAGUCGGCCUGCGCGGAAGAUGUAACGGGGCUAAACCAUGCACCGAAGCUGCGGCAGCGACGCUUAUGCGUUGUUGGGUAGGGGAGCGUUCUGUAAGCCUGCGAAGGUGUGCUGUGAGGCAUGCUGGAGGUAUCAGAAGUGCGAAUGCUGACAUAAGUAACGAUAAAGCGGGUGAAAAGCCCGCUCGCCGGAAGACCAAGGGUUCCUGUCCAACGUUAAUCGGGGCAGGGUGAGUCGACCCCUAAGGCGAGGCCGAAAGGCGUAGUCGAUGGGAAACAG